AGACGGAAACUAAAACACAGUCGU
rnacentral:siRNA from 1 species